rnacentral:rRNA from 1 species
UGAGAGUUGGCAACACCCGAAGUCGGUAGUCUAACCGCAAGGAGGACGCCGCCGAAGGUGGGGUUGAUGAUUAGGGUUAAGUCGUAACAAGGUACC